rnacentral:lncRNA from 1 species
AGUUGGUAAGCUAGCUGGGGAUAAGGAUGCCACGUGCACCUUACCCCCAAGCAUGCUUAUCACCUUAAUACUUGUGCAUAGUUUAUAUAUAGUUCUUGAGCCUCUACGCAUAUAGUUCUUGAGCCGUACGUAGAGGAGGAGCUCGGGUGGUGUGGAGUUUCGUCGACGUCGCGCAGCGGUGCCGUUCGAGCGUGUGUUCGUCGUCGUAGCAUCGCGAGGGGGGCCGGGCGAGGGUCCGAUUCCGCCGUUUUUGUUGUCGCGCCGGAUUGUGAUUAGCGUUUGAGGUGGGUUACAUCGGCUUUACUCCUAAGUUCUAAUUGGCCGACAUGUAUAGAUCUUGAUUUCGGUAAUUAAUUUAGCUCAAAUUCAUGGACUAUAUGUAGAUUGCGAAAUCUGAAUUUUGGAGCAUAUUUUAUAAAUUAAGUAGAUCAUACAUGUUGGACUUGAAAAUUGAAUUAGGAGAAAACCUGCGAUUUGGACCUGUCACCAGUUUUAACUACCUGAUUUAGCUCUAGGAGCCGUUAGAAAAUUGUACUGUCGCAGUUUCUUCGAGACGAGUACUCCAGGUAGUUUAGAAUGUAUUUACACUCGUGCUGGUUCGCCGAGUGGAUUUUUACAGGGUCGUUCAGGUUGUUUCGGACUGUUGGGUGCCGUCAGAGUUGACGGUGGACCCGUAUCGCCUUUUUGGGCGUCAGAUUGUGCCGAGGGCACUUACCUGUUGGUUGUUAGACCAUUUUGAGUCGAUUACUUGACUUUGGCUAGUUGGAGCCUGUUUGAGCUCGACAGAGAUACGCUGCAUACUCGGUUGGGUAGCGCCCACGAGUGCCACUCCGGAGUCAGGCUUGUGCUUUUGCGUUGGUGUCGCUCAUGCCAGUUGGACUUGCUCUCCACGGACCAGUUAGUGUGGAUAGAGCCCGAUAGUCGCAACGGGGCAGGGACGGGUGUAUUCACAGUCCCGGGGACGGGUAUGCUUACAGUCCCGAUUGGAUUGGGUCAGAUUUGACAUUUCCUACAGUUGGUUAGUGUAGAGCAUGAUAGUGUAGUGGAUGAUAGCGGUAGAGUAUGCUUCCUGCUUUCCUUCUAUCCUUGCUCCCUUCUGUAGACUUAGUGGGUGACCGAUGUUGUUUUGGGCGGUACCCACUGAGGACUACUUGUUUUUACAGUAGUUCUCACGCCCAGUUGUUACCCUUUGUUUUGCAGAGCCACAGGUUUCGGCUGCUGCGCCUUCCGCGGAUCAGGAUCGAGGCAAGGGCGUUGCGAGUUAGAGCCCUACCCGACUGACAGAGCUAGAGGCACCCUUACUGCAGGUAGAUGUUUUGUUUCGAGUUUGUGUACAUAGCUUGCUUAACUCGCCAGUGCGAGUAACCAUGUAUUUUGGAUUUGGACUAUGUAUAUGAAACUCAGUUGUUUAGCUUUGGUUUAUUGAGCAGCUCUAUACUACUGUUUGUAGUAUUGUAUAUCUACAGGUACUUUUGACGCUUCGUAUACAGGAAAAAUUCUUUUGUAUACGGCGGAUUUGUCAGCGUGCCCGGAAAACGAGACAUCCGGGGCUUGACAUCCAAUAUCAUAGACAAAUAAUUUACAC